UAGGUCGACCCGCUGAAUUUAAGCAUAUCAAUAAGCGGAGGAAAAGAAACUAACAAGGNUUCCCCUAGUAGCGGCGAGCGAAGCGGGAAAAGCCCAGAACCGAAUCCCAACGGCCUCGUGUUGUUGGGAAUUGUGGUGUUGGGUAUACUCCUUACGGUGCCCUGGAGUCGUUCUAAGUCCACGUGAUUGUGGCUUAAUGCCCAGAGAGGGUGUAAGGCCCGUGAGAACGAUACAGUGUAUUCAUUGGAGUGUUCCUAGAGUCGGAUUGUUUGGGAAUGCAGUCCAACCNNGNAGACUGAAGNNNNGANNGGUUCCAAACAACACGAGUCCGAUAGCGAACAAGUACCAUGAGGGAAAGUUGAAAAGAACUUUGAAGAGAGAGUUCAAUAGUGCGUGAAACCGCUCAGAGGUAAACAGGCUGAGCCGAAGAAGGGGCGUGCAUUUGUCUUCCGCGGUGCUCAUGCUGGUGUUUAAGGAGAUUUGCAAAGAACUCCCACGCUGGUGUGCAGUAUCGUGUUAGGCUAUUGUGCGUUUCCGACACCACGAUCAGUGCCUAGAUUGGCCAUGUCGCGUGGGGCAAGGUAACUGAGCCCGUUUGGGAGCAGAACUUAUAGGCCUCGCGUACAGCGCUGGUCGAACACUGAGAAAUGCGAUGCAGGACAGUGCGGUGCACAAGUUAGUGCUGGCUUCUGGUGCUCGGUACUGACUCAUAAGAGAUGGUGCUGGGUUGCUGGAGGACGGUGCUGGCCACUGUGUGCCGUGGAAAUGAAUCCGUGGUGAUUAUGUAAGCAAUCUGCCUGACCCGUCUUGAAACACGGACCAAGGAGUUUAGCAUGUGCGCGAGUCAUUGGGUCGUACGAAACCUAAAGGCGAAGUGAAAGUAAAGGCUUACAUUGUAGCAAGCUGAGGUAGGAUCUCGGUGUAACUAUGUACAUUUUGGUACAAGCACUGGGCGCACUACCAGCUCGUCCGAUCCUUUAUUAAGGCGGGCGACGCAAGAGCGCACACGCUGAGACCCGAAAGAUGGUGAACUAUGCUUGCGUAGGCUGAAGCCAGAGGAAACUCUGGUGGAGGGCCGUAGCGAUUCUGACGUGCAAAUCGAUCGUCAAACGUGAGUAUAGGGGCGAAAGACUAAUCGAACCAUCUAUUAGCUGGUUCCCUCCGAAGUUUCCCUCAGGAUAGCUGGCACUCGAGAAACAAACAGUUUUAUCCGGUAAAGCGAAUGAUUAGAAGUAUUGGGGAAAAACAUUCCUCAACUUAUUCUCAAACUUUAAAUGGGUGAGAAGCUGAACUCUCUUAAAUUGGAGUUGGGCAUUGAAUGUGAGUGCCUAGUGGGCCAUUUUUGGUAAGCAGAACUGGCGCUGUGGGAUGAACCAAACGUCUGGUUAAGGAGCCUAACAUGACGCUCAUUAGAUACCACAAAAGGUGUUGGUUGAUAUAGACAGCAGGACGGUGGCCAUGGAAGUCGGAAUCCGCUAAGGAGUGUGUAACAACUCACCUGCCGAAUCAACUAGCCCUGAAAAUGGAUGGCGCUGGAGCGUUAGUCCUAUACCAGACCGAUACCGCAAGACGCAUGUUAAAGGAAGCGGUAUCGAGUAGGAGGGCGCUGUGGUGAGCAUUGAAGCUUCGGUCGUGAGACUGGGUGGAGCCGCCACAGGUGCAGAUCUUGGUGGUAGUAGCAAAUAUUCAAGUGAGAACCUUGAA
rnacentral:rRNA from 1 species